rnacentral:rRNA from 1 species
UACGAAGGGGGCUAGCGUUGCUCGGAAUUACUGGGCGUAAAGCGCACGUAGGCGGCUCUUUAAGUCGGGGGUGAAAUCCUGGAGCUCAACUCCAGAACUGCCUUCGAUACUGAAGAGCUCGAGUCCGGGAGAGGUGAGUGGAACUGCGAGUGUAGAGGUGAAAUUCGUAGAUAUUCGCAAGAACACCAAUGGCGAAGGCAGCCCCCUGGGUCAACACUGACGCUCAUGCACGAAAGCGUGGGGAGCAAACAGG